AACGAACGCUGGCGGCGUGCCUAACACAUGCAAGUCGAACGAGAAAGUUCCGCAAGGAAUUAGUAAAGUGGCGCAAGGGUGAGUAACGCGUGAGCAAUCUGCCCUCAAAUUUGGGAUAACUUGUCGAAAGACGGGCUAAUACCGAACGAUGAUUAGGUUCAUAUGAAUCUAGUUUAAAGGUGGCUUCGGCUAUUGUUUGAGGAUGAGCUCGCGUACCAUUAGCUAGUUGGCAGGGUAAUGGCCUACCAAGGCUACGAUGGUUAGCUGGUCUGAGAGGAUGAUCAGCCACACUGGCACUGAGACACGGGCCAGACUCCUACGGGAGGCAGCAGUGGGGAAUCUUGCGCAAUGGGCGAAAGCCUGACGCAGCAACGCCGCGUGGAGGAUGAAGGUUUUCGGAUCGUAAACUCCUGUCGAGCGGGAUGAAAAUCUAAUGGCUAAUAUCCAUUAGAUCUGACAGUACCGUUAGAGGAAGCCUCGGCUAACUACGUGCCAGCCGCCGCAGUAAAAC
rnacentral:rRNA from 1 species